rnacentral:lncRNA from 10 species
CUCAACUUUCCCAGCUUUCUCUACCUUUAACUCUUGGAUUAUAGUUUCUUUGCUAAUUCUUUUGAAAACAUUUGGCUUCCUUUUACAAUUAGGUGGGUCCCUGUGUAAGCAAAUAAAAAGCUUUCUAUCUUGGUCAUAUCACUUUAUUUCUCUGGGUCAGUUUUUUUACAUAUAAAAUAUGAUGAAGUUGGAUUGCUUUCUAGAUGUAGAACUCUGUGAAGUGGGACGAGAUGAGAAAAGGUCCUCUGGUGGGCCUUCCUCUUUUCUUUUUCUUUCUCAUUUUGCUCAGUUCCUUGUAUUCACUACAACCUGGGUAAGUAAGUAAAAUUUAUCUUUAGAAAGGCAAGCUAACCCUUCUUUCAUUUCCGUCUUUUUCAGUGAAGCCAACCAGAAUUUUGAGUUGCAGGUACCUGAUGAUAUACUUCAGUAAAUAUUUUAUAAUUUUACAAAUAUAUUAAAUAUUAAAAUACCAAUAAUAAGAAAGUUUCUGUGAUAGCUUCCAAAGUGAUUGACUGACUAAUCAGUAAGAUUUACUAAGGACUUAAAAUGCUCCCAACAUAGUAAAGAACUAUAGGAGCCACUGAAAGUGUUUACAGUAUAUGAGAAAGAUGAAAACAUCUGAAAGAAAGAACUGCCAGGCACUAAAUCAUGCUCUGCUGAGUGAGUGUGCCCCAGCAUGGGGAUGAUGUGUGCAUUGUGGUCAUUGUUAGCACCUACUGAGUUUAGUUGUAGUUCAGUUGUAGUUUGUGAGAUGCAAGUUAUGGGUGAGUGAAAAGAGUUAAAGACAAUCUAGGUUUUUAGGGACAUCAUGAGCAAAGGCACUAGACGGGAAUUAGGCUGGUUCAGGUGAGGAGAGGAGAGGAAUGAAGAGAGGGUAUGGAUAGCUUUGUGAUAUGGACACUGAGUAGGCACUUGAAGGAGUAGAAGACUUACCAAGGUAGGUACUGGUGGUGGCAAGAUAACUCUAGACCCCAUUCAGAGGAGUUUAGAUUGGAGGGAGGGAGAUACUCGGAAGCGUUUGUGUUGGUUCCUUGAAUUCCAUCCUAUAUCUUUGAUUUCUUGAAUUUAAUUUCUACCAGGUACUCUGCCUAGAUCAGUUCCUGUUGGCAGUUUUGAUUUGACUGGAUGUUUUAACAAGUCCUCUUAACUUUGCUUUAUUCUAAUCUGGUUAUAAUAUUAUGGAAUCUUAAAAAUCUUAAGGUUAGAAGGGCCCAUAUUCACAACCAGUACAGGAGCCACACCCUGAAUUUUUGAAGUAGUUAUUCUGUUUCUGAAUGUGUGAACCCUUUUUUUUUCUUUUUUUUUUUUUUUUUUUUGAGACGGAGUCUCGUUCUGUUGCCCAGGCUGGAGUGCAGUGGUGUGAUCUCGGCUCACUGCAACCUCCGCCUCCCGGGUUCAAGGGUUUCUCUUGGCUUAGCCUACCGAGUAGCUGGGACU